AUACUACUCCCUCCAUCCCAAAAUUCUUGUCUUAGAUUUGUAUAGAUAUGGAUGUAUCAAGUCACAUUUUAGUAUUAGAUACAUCUGUAUCUAGACAAAUCUAAGACAAGAAAUUUGGGACAGAAGGAGUAUAUU
rfam:Triticum aestivum genome assembly, contig: Triticum_aestivum_CS42_TGACv1_scaffold_499444_6BL